rnacentral:rRNA from 1 species
GGGGGGGGGGGGGGGGGGGCGUGGGGCAGGCAGGGCGGACGGAAAGGCCCUGCGUUUGUGGGGUGCUCGAGUGGCGAACGGGUGAGUAACACGUGAGUAACCUGCCCUUGACUUUGGGAUAACUUCAGGAAACUGGGGCUAAUACCGGAUAGGAGCUCCUGCUGCAUGGUGGGGGUUGGAAAGUUUCGGCGGUUGGGGAUGGACUCGCGGCUUAUCAGCUUGUUGGUGGGGUAGUGGCUUACCAAGGCUUUGACGGGUAGCCGGCCUGAGAGGGUGACCGGCCACAUUGGGACUGAGAUACGGCCCAGACUCCUACGGGAGGCAGCAGUGGGGAAUAUUGCACAAUGGGCGGAAGCCUGAUGCAGCAACGCCGCGUGCGGGAUGACGGCCUUCGGGUUGUAAACCGCUUUCGCCUGUGACGAAGCGUGAGUGACGGUAAUGGGUAAAGAAGCACCGGCUAACUACGUG